UAGUGAGUUUGAUCCUGGCUCAGGAUGAACGCUGGCGGUCUGCUUAACACAUGCAAGUCGAACGGAACCUUUCGGGGUUUAGUGGCGGACGGGUGAGUAACACGUGGGAACGUGCCUUUUGGUUCGGAAUAGCUCCUGGAAACGGGUGGUAAUGCCGAAUGUGCCCUUCGGGGGAAAGAUUUAUCGCCAUUAGAGCGGCCCGCGUCUGAUUAGCUAGUUGGUGAGGUAAAGGCUCACCAAGGCGACGAUCAGUAGCUGGUCUGAGAGGAUGACCAGCCACAUUGGGACUGAGACACGGCCCAGACUCCUACGGGAGGCAGCAGUGGGGAAUUUCCGCAAUGGGCGAAAG
rnacentral:rRNA from 1 species